rnacentral:rRNA from 1 species
AUGGUAGCCGCUACAGCUACAGAAAUGUUUCUUGUGUGCUUUGAAUCCUUGUGCCCCUGUUUUCGCUCGAAAAGGAAGGAUGGAAGUGAAGAUCCUGUUCUUGCAAAAGACGGAAAUUCCUUGAGUUCUUCUGAAAUGAGGUCAAUUUCUGACAGAAUUCCCUCGAGCCCUCUUCGGGUACCUGCAAGUCCAUCUAGAUUUUCAUUAUCUUCACCGCCAAGUAGAAAUGAUCCAUUGAACCUCAGUCUUGAAACGGUUAUUAAACUGACACGUAACUUUUCGCCGGCCUUGAUGAUUGGCGAAAGUUAUUUUGGAAAGGCCUACAGAAUGGACUUGCAAAAUGGCCUUAUUGUGGCUAUUAAAAGGGCAAGAAAGGAACAUUUUGCUUCUUUACACGCAGAAUUCAAAAAUGAAAUUGCACUACUAAAAAAAAUCGAACACAGGAAUCUGGUCCAGUUACUUGGAUAUAUUGACAAAGGGAAUGAAAGAAUUGUCAUAACCGAGUUCGUGGCAAAUGGCACUCUUAGGGAACAUUUGGAUGGACAACAUGGACUAAUAUUGGGCUUCGGUCAGCGGCUUGAAAUAGCCAUAGAUGUUGCCCAUGGAUUAACUUAUCUGCAUCUAUAUGCAGAGAAGCCCAUUAUACACCGGGAUGUGAAGUCAUCAAACAUUCUACUAACUGAAGGCUUCAGGGCAAAAGUAGCCGACUUCGGAUUUGCAAGAAUUGGUUCGACAGAUCCAGGCCAGUCAGAGAUUCAAACUGAUGUGAAAGGAACAGCUGGCUAUGUGGAUCCAGAGUAUCUGCGGACAAACUAUCUGACAGUCAAGAGUGAUGUGUUCUCUUACGGCAUCUUGCUCCUGGAAAUCCUAUCAGGUCGUCGUCCUAUUGAGGUGAACAGAGGAGGAAGAGAAAAGAUUACCGUGCGAUGGGCCUUUGAGAGAUAUAACAAAGGCAAUGUCCAGGAGAUACUGGAUCCAAUGUUGACCGAAACAGUAAACGAGGAUAUACUGAAUAAGAUUUUCGAUGUGAUGUUCCAAUGCGUCGCUCCUACCCGCGCUGACAGGCCACAUAUGAAAGAGGUUGUGGAGAAGCUCUGGAAGAUACGGAGGGACUACGCUAAAACCCAAAACAGAGCAGAAGGGUCUCUUUAA